rnacentral:rRNA from 1 species
UACGUAGGGUGCGAGCGUUGUCCGGAAUUAUUGGGCGUAAAGGGCUCGUAGGCGGUUUGUCGCGUCGGGAGUGAAAACCCGAGGCUCAACCUCGGACCUGCAUUCGAUACGGGCAGACUAGAGUUCGGUAGGGGAGUCUGGAAUUCCUGGUGUAGCGGUGAAAUGCGUAGAGAUCCGGAGGAACACCUGUGGCGAAGGCGGCCCCCUGGCCGCACCUGACGCUGAGACGCGAAAGCGCGGGGAGCGAACGGG